UCUGGCAAGCUAAAAAACAAUGAACCUGGAAACGUAGGGACGGAGCGUAAGCAUAGUUUACGGAUGAGGGGAGCGAGGACCACGCUGCGGAGGAUAACUACAGCACCAUCAAUAUUCUCAAACGUUUCGGAUUUUUGAGUUGGCAUGACAUGAAAUCAGAGCUGUAAACCCAUUCAGAAGUGGUUUCCCAUUUCUUAUAAACGUUUCACUCGUGGGCCCACGAGAAACGCAAGAUUACCCACUAUGGAAGGGCUCAUACGGUUCACAUUGAGAAUCCAUAAAUUGGAAUACAAUUCCGGGCUCGCUGGAUCCAGUUCGGCCGAAAGUACAGAACGAUACGAUUCCCACAGAGGAAUUCAACGCGCGGAAAUGCGUAGUUGCUGGCCGUCGUGGAAACAGUAAACCAGAUGGUCGGCUCAAGACACACGAGAACCGAAGAAAAUUGAAGAGCGAUAUUCGCAGACGAUGCUCGCCUCUUCCUGUUCCUCUUGUUUCGCGGCCUCAUCCCGCCGCAGCCCGAUUAUCCUCCCGUCCGGCAUGGCACGUGGAUUCUGCUUCUAUCUGAGAAGAUGAUCUACGAGUACGCCAAC